GUGACUAUGAGAGCUGCCAAGGCUUCCUCGGGGCAUAAAGUUUGGACUCUAAUUCACUUUUCACUCUGGAUAGUUAAGAUUGAUUUGCCCCAGGGGCUUUGGGGAGGAUGGCUCUUGUGUCAACAUGGCAGGAUAGUACCCAGGCUGCAGGGUCACCUCUGAAGCCCCUCGGUUAUAAAUAGCUUCAAAACUGCCUUAACAGCUGGCAGUCGGCCAAUGGAGAGGAAAACAGAUUGAGGUGAGCUGCAGGAAGUAGAUCACGGUAGGAAGGAGGAGACCUAAGAGGAAAGAGUCAUAUGGAAAAAUAAACAAGGGCAUUUUAGGGUACCAGAAGAGAAAAGCAGUAUUUCCAUGUUGCUAUUUUAGUAUUAGGCUUCUCGACCAUUCCACUCUCUCUACCCCGUACCUGUCGAGGAAAGGAAGAGCCGGCGGGAGUCAGUGAGAAGGAUUAGUCCAUAUGAGCUCCCUCUCUGCUGCCCCCAUCAUUCCAGUCUUCAAUGAUAGGGUGAAAAACCAAUGUAAAAGAAAACCUCAUGAACAACUAUUCUUCACAGCUUACAGAGGAAUAAUAAAAAUUGACCAUUGGAAGACCCUAACAUAUGAAAGAAAUCCUUCAUGGGCAAUCUGGGAAAAUAUCAACAAAAAUAUCACAGGAUGAAAAAAGUGAAAGGAAUGUAAUGUGCAUUAAUACAGGAUUUAUCAACCACAUGUGAUCCAUAAAAAUAAUUGU